rnacentral:snRNA from 1 species
AUACUUACCUGGCAGGGGAGAUGCCAUGAUCACGAAGGUGGUUUUCCCAGGGCGAGGCUCACCCAUUGCACUCCGGGUGUGCUGACCCCUGCGAUUUCCCCAAAUGUGGGAAACUCGACUGCAUAAUUUGUGGUAGUGGGGGACUGCAUUCACGCUAUCCCCUG